rnacentral:rRNA from 1 species
UCUGCUCAAUGAAAAUUUAUUUAAAUAGCUGCAGUAUUUUGACUGUACAAAGGUAGCAUAAUCAUUUGUCUUUUUAUUAAAGUCUGGAAUGAAAGAUUGAAUGAAAUAAAAACUGUCUCAAAUUAAUUAUAUUAUUAAAAUUUAUUUUAAGUAAAAAUUCUUAAAUUUUAUAAAAAGACGAGAAGACCCUAUAGAAUUUUAUAAAUAAUUAAUAUUAUUUAUAAUAAAUAAUAAAUAAUAUUAAUUUAUUUAUUUUGUUGGGGUGACAAAAAAAUUAAUUUAAUUUUUUUAAUAUAUUUACAUUAUGAAUGAUUAUAUUAUCCAAUACUAUUGAAUAUAUAUUAAAUUACCUUAGGGAUAACAGCGUUAAAUUUUUAGAGAGUUCAUAUUGAUAAAAAUUAUUGCGACCUCGAUGUUGAAUUAAAAUAAAUUAUUAUUGAAGAAAAUAAUACA